GUUCCGCCCCAUCGCAAGGUUGACCUGUUGAGGACACAGAAUGUUGAACUCAGUUUGUUGAGUUCAAAAGGGGGACUGUUGUAGUAUUUUAGACUAUUAAAGUUAAAACUGUUUAAUGAUUUAUACUAGUGGAUAUUUAGGUGCUAAGGGUGAGUGUUCAUUUAAACAUCUGCCUCAGGGAAACUAUUUACAACCACUGAUAAAGAUCACCCUAUGGCCAUGUGUAGGGGGGCAGCCGGAGGUAACAGAGGUAGAUUAGUGGUAAUUUAUAUGUAUGCAUUAACUGUCUUCCUUUGAGCGUGCUGAGCUUUAGGUGACAUUUGAGGUCGGAGUCAGAUGGGAAGGAGGAAGUCAGCAGAGCCAAUCAGAAGACGACAAAACGCCCAUGCACAUUUCUUUGUUUGUACUUGUAUAAAUACACUGGAUCAGGGAAAGUUAGGUUGUCAGACUGUGGACUGACCAACACUUGUUAUUGGUUAGGAAAAGGCACAUCUGAUCCAGAAUUCUGUAAUUGUUCAUUGCUUGCUGAAAAGAUUCACUAAACAAUUUGAACUAAA